UCUUCUAAAAUAAAUAUAUUCAAUGCUAUUAAAAGGAAAGUGAAAUAGGGAUAAACAGAACCAUUGGGCACUCAAAAAUCUAUUUUAUUUCGUUUUAGUCUGUAUAUAGAGUCGACAUAAUUUAUAUUUCUUAUAUUUAUAACAGUAUAGUUUCACGCAAUCGGUCGCAAAAGAUUUAUAAAAUAUGUAUUAACCUUAAAUCAGGCAUCGGUAGUCAAUUAUGCAUUGAAACUGGAUACAAAAACAUGGUUAAAAAUGCACAUUCUGAAAACUUUGUAAAGAGAUAUUAAAUCAAGAAGGAUAGUGUAUAUCACUUUGAUUAAUUUACGAUUAACUUCCUUUUUGUUGUAACUUUGCGUCUUGUAAAUAUGGUUUCAUUUGUGCUAUCUGUUUUAACCUUUGCAAUUUGACGUGCACUGCAGGUGCUGUGCAAUAUCAUUUCGCUACGCAUGCGUGCAUAGUAAUGAUAAAUUUAUGAAUGAAUUCAAAAUUACGAGACACGUGCUUAGAUGCACAUUAUCAAAUGUAUGAUCAAAAGAUCGGGAUUAUACGAAACCUGCAAUUGACCGCCGCAUUGCUGAAUUAUUGAAAAGAAGAGUUGGUUUAGAAUCGUUAACUACCGAAUCUCUGAAAGAGCGUCUUGCAAAAUUUAAGGAACAGCGACAAGUUAGACAAGGA